CUGCCGGUUGAGUUGGUGGUGGUGGUGGAGGAGUGGCGGGUGUUGGUUGCUCCGGUGGGGAUUGCUGCUCGGCUUGGCAGCUGACGCGCAUGGGCUGCCGGCGUGGAAGCAAGAAUGUGGGAGUAGAGAGGGCUUUGGAAGCACGGCGAGGAGCGAAAGCUGCGGUGGCGGCGUAUGAUGAUAAACUCAUUGUGGCUGAAGCUGCCAUGGUGAG
rnacentral:misc_RNA from 1 species